rnacentral:tRNA from 1 species
GGGCCAUAGCUCAGUCGUAGAAUAUCUGCUUUGCAUGCAGAAGGUUCCCAGGUUCAAUUCCCACCAUCUCCA